CGGUGAAUACGUUCCCGGACCUUGUACACACCGCCCGUCAAGCCAUGGAAGCUGGGUGUACCUAAAGUCGGUAACCGCAAGGAGCCGCCUAGCGUAAAACUAGUAACUGGGGCU
rnacentral:rRNA from 1 species